rnacentral:rRNA from 1 species
AACAAACGCUGGCGGCGUGCCUAAUACAUGCAAGUCGAACGGGGAAAGCCUUCGGGCAAGUACUAGUGGCGCACGGGUGAGUAACACGUGGGUAAUUUGCCCUCAGAUGGGGAAUAACCAGUCGAAAGAUUGGCUAGUACCGCAUAAGACCACAGGAUCUGCGGAUCUAGGGGUUAAAGGAGUAAUUCGUCUGAAGAUAAGCCCGCGCGGGAUUAGCGAGUUGGUGAGGUAACGGCUCACCAAGGCUAUGAUCUCUAACUGGUCUGAGAGGAUGAGAAGUCACACUGGAACUGAGACACGGUCCAGACUCCUACGGGAGGCAGCAGUAGGGAAUAUUGCACAAUGGGGGAAACCGUGAUGCAGCGACGCCGCGUGAGUGAUGAAGGACUUCGGUUCGUAAAGCUCUGUCGCAGGGGAAAAUUAUGAUGGUACCCUGUAAGAAAGGAUCGGCUAACUUCGUGCCAGCCGCCGCGGUAA